rnacentral:sRNA from 2 species
UCGGAAUCCGCACCCAUCCACGCGUGGCAGGAGCGGGGGACCCAGGUAAGCGCCGUCCGGAAUUCCGGCACGGCUCGGGGUGAAGCCGGAGCACCGCACGCGGUGCCCGGCCGGGCAGCUCCAGCCCGAACCCGACAGCUCACCUCGCAGGCGCCGGAGAGGAAUC